AGAAUCUUCCGCAAUGGGCGAAAGCCUGACGGAGCGACGCCGCGUGGAGGACGAAGGCCUUCGGGUUGUAAACUCCUGUCACGAGUUAAGAAGGGGCUGUCACGAACAGUGGUAGACCCUGACGUAAGCUCGAGAGGAAGCACUGGCUAACUCUGUGCCAGCAGCCGCGGUAAUACAGAGAGUGCAAACGUUGUUCGGAAUUACUGGGCUUAAAGCGCACGUAGGCGGCAUCGCAAGUGUGGGGUGAAAUCCCACGGCUUACCCGUGGAACUGCCUGGCAGACUGCGGUGCUCGAGUGUGGUAGGGGAGAGCGGAACUCCUGGUGGAGCGGUGAAAUGCGUAGAUAUCAGGAGGAACACCGGUGGCGAAGGCGGCUCUCUGGUCCACAACUGACGCUGAGGUGCGAAAGCUAGGGGAGCAAA
rnacentral:rRNA from 1 species